CAGUCGCCGCGGUAAUACGAAGGGGGCUAGCGUUGUUCGGAUUUACUGGGCGUAAAGCGCACGUAGGCGGCUUUGUAAGUUAGAGGUGAAAGCCAGGAGCUCAACUCCAGAAUUGCCUUUAAGACUGCAUCGCUUGAAUCCAGGAGAGGUGAGUGGAAUUCCGAGUGUAGAGGUGAAAUUCGUAGAUAUUCGGAAGAACACCAGUGGCGAAGGCGGCUCACUGGACUGGUAUUGACGCUGAGGUGCGAAAGCGUGGGGAGCAAACAGGAUUAGAUACCCCAGUAGUCCCUGUCUCUUAUAC
rnacentral:rRNA from 1 species